UUCAACGCCAUCCAACGAUCGAUGUUUUAAGGAUCCGCCGGCUUCAACGCUACCUCCGCUCCCCCGCCUCCCUCCCGCGCGCGACGCCGCAGCGCCCGCGGUUCGAACCCCCUCUCUUUUUCCUUUUUUUUUUCCCUCUCCUCUCUUCUCUUUUUUUCGCCGAGAGCAUCGGCAUCCUGCGCGGCGGGCGCUAGGGCCGGCGCCCAGAUCUCCCCCUCCCUCCUCCUCGCUCGCCCGCGUCGCUUGCUCGCGCCGCCCGUCGCGGCCGCCCUCGCCCGCACCAGCUGCCACUGCGCGUUCUGGCGUACGCGAGGAGGGCGCCGCUCGCCCGUGCCGGAAGGCGCCGUGGCUGAAGCGGGCGCCUCCUGCGCGGGUGCGCCACACGUUUCCAGCCACCGCCGGCCGCGUGCCUCCCGCCCAUCCUCUCUCCCUCCCUCCCCUCUGGCGACGGCCUCUGCACGGGCGGUCCACUCGCGGAUCUUGGGGCGCUAGGCCUGGGGCCAGCGAGCCACGGCCGGAUCUCGGGGCGGCCCAUCUCGAGCGCCGCCGCCGACAGGGGGAGGACGAGGUGGAGGCCGCCGGGCGCUGCACGGGCGGUCCGCCGGCGGCGGAACAAACGCCUAGGCCGCCAGCGCCCUCCUUGCCGGUAGGCGAGGCCCCGAGCUGCUGUGCCCCGCGCGGGGGUCGGCGGAGCGGCAGGCGCGCGGCAGCGCGACAACACGGUGAGUGCCCGAUUCCCUCCCGCAGGUCUCAAGCCAUGCACGCAACACGUUCGUGCAAAUGCCUGAGUUGGAGGCCAUGUUUCCUAUGACCACGAGGCAGGUAUGUCUGCUACUUCAUGAGUAGCACUUACGAGUGUUGAUUGAACUUCCAUUUCGAUGCUUCAUUUGACCUCCAAGCUGCUUGCUACCAAUGCUCCUUGAGAUGACUCCCAGACAGAGGGAGGCAGAGGAACAAGCAGAACAAGAAUAUAACUGAAGAAGCAGUGGUUACGUAAGCAGGAAUUGAUCAAUAGUAUUGCCACAUUAUGGUAGCACUAUUCACCUCUGAUCAACCUACUGAAGCUUUGGUUUGCUUUGCAAGUAGAAAACAAAGCGUUUAAGCUCAUUAUAGUAUAUGAUUUGACUAAAUUUAAAUCACUCAAUAGUGCAUCUGCUUUUAUAUGAUGCCAUGGGGUACCAGACAGCCCCUGCAAUUCAACUACAACAUCAACAUUGCAAAGGCCAACAAGAUUGGAAACUGUGACAUGAUUAAAUUGGUAAGUGCAAGGUUUUAGAAUUAGAAUACUGAAAGAACAAUUAGGAAAAAUAGACGCAUCCCAUUCUUUAAUAUGGUGUUUACCUGAUUUUUUUAUGUGGCCUUUUUUCUUACUACUGUAUCCAGAUACCUGCUGUUUGUGUGCACUUCUAUUCUAACAGUGCAAUACAUAUAUUCAAGCAUUGGUUUACAUACUUAAAACAAAGUGUUCAUGUGCAGAUAUCUUUUGUGAAUUUUGUUCCAUCUCAGAGAACUUGACAUUGUGUGCUGUAUAAUUUAGGUUGUUGAGGUGAUCCAUGUCCAUGUGUGGCUACAGACAAGGAGCAAUAUUUAGCAGCUCCAACUGGUCAUAUGCAAACCUGAUAACUGUGAAAAUAACUUAUCUAAAUUGGAAAUUUAUUUUGUUUUAUUUGUCGUAACAUGUGCAUUUGUUGGAUGGCCUGGGAUUGAACAUGGAAUUCUAUCGAUGUGUCUUAUUUUGGUAGGAGAUUAAUUCCUUAUCCAAAUUUUAUGUUGGCUGAGGGCUAAGUUCAGAGUUAGGGCUAUACUUUCAACUGAUUUUGGGAUUGAAUCAUGUGACAUCAGCACACAUGCUUACACUAUUUAUAUGAUAGUUAACAUUCAUUUUGAUAUAAACCUAUCUUGACUAUGUUAUUGCAUCUCUGAUUUAGCGUGUAAGCUUCUUUUAAGGCAAACUUCAGACUUACCUUUUUUAUUCUCGAAACUUAUCUUGCUGUUGUGCAGAUGUUGUGUGGUGCUUUCAGGCCAUAUUGCAGACGGGGAUGGUGAUGAUUCUUGCAGGAGAUGGUAUAAGUAGAACUGAAACUCGACAUUGGCCACGCUGAGAGAAACACGCGCUGCAAGAUCUAUUCCUUAUCCAUUGCUACAAUGUAAAUGGCACUGUUAGGGCUGGAAGUACAUUAGUGUUGGUCAGCUCUCCAUCGCAAGAGAAAACAUGCAGAGAUAAAGUCCAAUGUUCCAGUGCACAUUGGAGUACUUUCUUAUUUGUGCUGGUGAAAAGUUGUCAAUUGGAGUAGCAUGGGAUGGCCAUCAAAGGAGAAAUAUCUCAUGAUGUUAUCUGAUAUUCUCUUAUGGAUAUCAUAUCAAAAGUUGGAAUGACUGAUGUAAUGUGAGUAUUAGGAACCUUAAUUUUAUAUUUCAUUAGCUUUUUGGUUUGAGGAAUUGUAUAGAUGGAUUUGCAAGAGAAGACGUGCAAGCUAUUUGCUCGGGCCCCUGGUCUUUUUUUUUUAAAGUUAGGCUCUUGACCAUCACAACCUUGUAUGCAUUCUUUCUGAGUAUAAUUAUGUGAUUGCGCAUUUAAAUA